UUGAGGGUUAAGAGCACCCUUGUGCUUUUGU
rnacentral:piRNA from 1 species